rnacentral:rRNA from 1 species
GACGAACGCUGGCGGCGUGCCUAAUACAUGCAAGUAGAACGCUGAAGAGAGGAGCUUGCUCUUCUUGGAUGAGUUGCGAACGGGUGAGUAACGCGUAGGUAACCUGCCUUGUAGCGGGGGAUAACUAUUGGAAACGAUAGCUAAUACCGCAUAACAAUGGAUGACACAUGUCAUUUAUUUGAAAGGGGCAAUUGCUCCACUACAAGAUGGACCUGCGUUGUAUUAGCUAGUAGGUGAGGUAAUGGCUCACCUAGGCGACGAUACAUAGCCGACCUGAGGGGUGGAUCGGCCACCCUGGACCGGGAACACGGCCCAGCCCCCUAGGGGAGGCACAAGAGGGGAAUGUUGGACAAUGGGGGAAAGCCUGACCAAGCAAGCCCGCGUGUGUGACGAAGGUGUUCGGUUUGUAAAGCCCGUUGUGUGGGGAGAAAGGGCAGUAGGUUGGUAAGUUGCCGUUUUGACGGUAACUUAACAAAAAGCAACGGCUAACUACGUG